UGCGUUGGUCAGGCAGUCGCGUGUGGCCGGGUAACCGGCUAUGCGAGGAAAGUCCGGACUCCAGAGGGCACAGCGCCGGGUAACGCCCGGGCGGGGCAACCCGCGGACAGGGCCACAGAAACAAACCGCCGCAGGUCGUCAGACCGGGUAAGGGUGAAAAGGUGGUGUAAGAGACCACCGGCGUGCCGGGCAACCGGCACGGCCAGGCAACCCCCGUUGGGAGCAAGGCCAAGCAGGAGGGACGGUCGCAAGACCGGGAAGUGACCCGCUUCCUCCCCCAGGGGCAACCUCCGGGUAGGCUGCUAGAGGCCGGCGGUGACGCCGGUCCCAGACAGAUGACUGCCCAUGACAGAAUCCGGCUUAUAGACCGGCGCAAACU
rnacentral:RNase_P_RNA from 1 species